GCUUCUAUAGUUAAAUGGAUAUAACAAGCCCCUCCUAAGGGCUAGUUGCAGGUUCGAUUCCUGCUGGGAGCA
rnacentral:tRNA from 1 species